rnacentral:rRNA from 1 species
UACGUAGGUGGCAAGCGUUGUCCAGAUUUAUUGGGUUUAAAGGGUGCGUAGGCGGUCCUAUAAGUCAGUGCUGAAAUAUCCCGGCUUAACCGGGAGGGUGGCAUUGAUACUGCAGGACUUGAGUAAAGUUGAGGUAGGCGGAAUUGACGGUGUAGCGGUGAAAUGCUUAGAUAUCGUCAAGAACACCGAUAGUGAAGACAGCUUACUAAACUUUAACUGACGCUGAGGCACGAAAGUGUGGGGAUCAAACAGG